rfam:Otolemur garnettii contig167796, whole genome shotgun sequence.
GUGUUUGCUUCAUCAGCACAUAUACUAAAACUGGAAUAAUACAGAGAUGAAUAGCAUGGCCCCGGUGUGAGGAUAACAUGCAAAUUUGUAAACUGUUCCACAUUUUU